AUUACAGCAGCCUCUAUCGCACUGCAACACCCUUAUGAAGGGCAGCCUGCCGCUCACCACACCUCACAAGGAUCUACUCUGACCUUUCUCCCUGGCCACCGGAUCAAAAACUAGAAGUACUGGGCCAACCAAAGGGAGAAAAAUGAUCAUUUCCAGGAUGAACAGCAGGAGCCAGGAAAAUACUCAUGAGACUAGAUCCCAAGGAUGCUGGAUCAAUAGUCAGACCACAGAAUUAGAUUUGGAAGAGUUUGGUGACAUUGGAGACUCUCCUGUAAUGUGGAUCUAACACCCAGGAGGGAUGAGACCCCUGUGGACCAUGUCUUGCUGAGAGAACCCAGGAAACGCUGCUCAGUUAAAAGUGUUCUUGUAAGUUUGAAUGACAGGGCCACUCUAAGGGAAAUAGAACUACUAGAACUGCCUUAGCAAGUGAAAAGAGAAGGAUGAAAAUUCUCAGAGAAGCAGAUAUGCUAGAGACAAUAUGAAAACUCACUAGUCAAUCAUGUUCUGCUGGAGGGCCCAGAGGAUACACUACUUACCACAUUGAUAAGGAAUGCACCAGUGACAGGAAGACAACACAUCUAAGGAAGUCUGUGUCAGUUCUUCUCUGUAGGCCAGGUCUGAGAGCAGCACAUGCUUCUAAUCCAGGUUUCCUGGUAGCAAUGGAGAUAAUAGACAAGUUAGCGCUAAAAUUCAAAACAAAACAAAAAGUAGAUAAAAUUAUCACAUAUUCAAAAAUAACAAAGGACAUUGAUCCUCCUAUAAUACAAUAAUAAAACUCAAAGACUGAUGAUCAGGUGGCUGAAAAAUACUUCCUCAAAAUAAUGUUGAAAAUUGUCCCCCAAUUUCUAGAAUUAAGCCAAUUUUCAGAAAUUGAACUUGUCAGAGAGACCAAAUUUCCAUGAGAAAAUACCCAGCCAUACCAUACAAGUAUGUACAGUAAUGAUUCCUCCUGUGCUUCUUCCAAGAAACAUAUUAAACUGUACAUGGAUAACGAUACACUGGAGAAUAGCUGGACAUAAUGGAAAACAUUGUUCAGCGUUUAUGGUUCCUUGACACCUGAGGUUCUAUCACAAACUCCUCUCAGAAUGGGAGGAUGACGGCCAGGACAAUAUCAUACCGGGUCCAGUGAGUCUAUGGAACAUUGAAGUGAUUGCUUCCCUACCCUUAGGUAUAUACUACAAUCAACAUAUCUGACAUCUUCACAACAUAUUAUUGUCCAAUCCAUGAGCAUGGUAUAACUAUCCUUUGAUAUCUUUCUUUAAUUUCUCUAUUUAAAGCGCUGUACUUUUAAAACAGCAUGGAGGCUUUCUACAUCCUUCAUUAAACUUAGCCCCAAAUACUUUAUGAUUUUUAUACUCUUCUAAAUAGCAUUUUAAAAAAUCCCUUAGUAUUUAUAUGUUUCCAGGUUUUUGCUGUUAUAGUAUCGAAAUAUAAUUCUUUUUGUUUUUUGACCAGGCAUCACGCCACCACACUAUUUUCACUUACUACUGCUGGUAGUUGCUUUGUAAAUUUCUACGUAAUUUAUAUAUAAAUGAUAAUGACCUCCAAGAAUAAAGGCAACUUUACAUCUUCCUUUUCAAUUGCCAUGAUGUUUUCUC
rnacentral:lncRNA from 10 species